rnacentral:rRNA from 1 species
AUGGCGGAGGAACCGUCCGCCAAGUGUCAUCAUGCCGAGACGUCGGACAAGAGGAGCAACCUCGUCGACAUUAACGUCCCCGGCGAGAAGCGCAACUACACCAGAACGCUCAAAGGGGUUGAGCUCCACGGCAAGGAGACGCUGGAGAUCGUCUGCACCAGCGAACCAGACAAGGCCGACGAGGUUAUCUCCAGGCUCUGGAGGAAGCUUGGCGGCAGGAUUCGUAGGAUCAUCGGCGUUGGUGUGCACUACACCAACGAAGAUGAACCUCCCCAGAUGGCGGCAGUCCUGCAGGUGUGCGUCGACGAACUCUGCUUGGUGUACCACAUCGCAGCGGCCACAAAAUGGUGA